AUUGCACGCUGGCGGCAGGCCUAACACAUGCAAGUCGAACGAGUGGCGGACGGGUGAGUAAUGUCUGGGAAACUGCCUGAUGGAGGGGGAUAACUACUGGAAACGGUAGCUAAUACCGCAUACCAUCAGAUGUGCCCAGAGUGGAUUAGCUUGGUGGUGGGGUAACGGCUCACAAAUGCGACGCUCCCUAGCUGGUCUGAGCGGAUUACCAGCCACACUUGAACUGAGACACGUGCCAGACUCCUACGGGAGGAAGCAGUGGGGAAUAUUGAACAAUGGGCGCAAGCCUGAUGCAGCCACGCCGCGUUUAUGAAGAAGGCCUUCGGGUUGUAAAGUACUUUCAGCGGGGAGGCGUUACCCGCAGAAGAAGCACCGGCUAACUCCGUGCCAGCAGCCGCGGUAAUAC
rnacentral:rRNA from 1 species